AGCGAGCGCAGGAGCGCCGUUCCCCAGUGUGUGUGCGCGCGCGUGUGUUCGUGUGUCGGCGGGGAGAGCGGAAACAUGUGAUGGCGCAACUUUGGCUCGGGGACUUUUAACGGCUGCGGCGUCUCCGGAGCGCUGAGCUUCGAAGCACCUUUAGCCCAGAGGGACACGCGCGCGCACACGCACACGCGCGCGCGCACGCACGCAUAUACUGUGUGUGUGUGUGUGUGUGUGCGCGUCAAUGUGAGCCUGUUACUGAUUACACUUGGAAGAAUGCAACAGCAGGAAUAAAAGGCAGACGGGCAAAAGUUUCAAGAGCGACGCCGGGAUCCCGCUCGGAGGCAGAGGAUCACGGGACCGCGCCGGGGCAGGAUGAACGCGGAGGGGCGGGGGCCCCCCGGGGGGGGGCGGCCCGGGACCGAAAGUGGCCAAGAGGAAAAAGCUCGGGUCGACGCGGUCGAGCUUCUUCCAGAGGUUCCGUGAAGGGAACCGUACAUCGGACUCGGCCUUCGACGGAGAUAGCUUUGCAGUUCAUUUCACAUUUGCGCAAAAACGCUGGGAGGAGAAGAUGCGAAAGGUGUCGACGAGUCGAGCACGGCCCGGAGACAAAUCGUUUUCGUCUGCAAACCGGCAUCGUUGAGCAUCACCGUGACGACGCUUAACUGGCACAGGUGACGAGCAACCAGUGCGCCAUCGCCAUUCGCUAUCUGCGAUCCAGCUGACCUCCGACCUUGCUGACACACCCUCUUUGACUGUGCUGUAACUAACCUAUUGCACUUCACACCUCCUCACCUCACAUUUUGUACAUUUUGUGAACUUUGGAGGUUUUUUUUUUGUCUGUGUGUGUGGCAUUUCCCCUUCCAAAGCAAGAAAUUCAAUCACAGUUCUUCGCUUCCCUCAGGCAUCCGACAAUGACCUCAUUUUCAAAAUGGCUGACAGGAAGAGGGCAGGAUUAAAUAAGAGGUUUUUUAAAUCAGCCUUAAAACAAAUUUUUAUUCUACAAACUGAACAUUUAUGAAAAAAGGAUCCAUUAUUAGGAGGCUAAAUUCAAUUGGGCUCAUUACGUUAUAGAUGAUACAUUUUUUAGAAAUGAAUUGAAAAAAUUCAUCGUUCCAGCGGCGGCACGGGGGCCGACCGGUUAGAGCGUCAGCCUCACAGUUCUGAGGUGCGGGGUUCGAUCCCCGGCCCCGCCUGUGUGGAGUUUGCAUGUUCUCCCCGUGCCUGCGUGGCUUUUCUCCGGGCACAUCCCCAAAACAUGCAUGAAUUGGAGACUCUAAAUUGCCCGUAGGGCGCGACUGUGCAUGCCAAUGGUUGUUUGUUUGUAUGUGCCCUGCGAUUGGCUGGCAACCGGUUCAGGGUGUACCCCGCCUCUCACCCGGUGACGGCUGGGCUAAGCGCCAGCUCGCCCGCGAUCCCAGUGCGGAGAAGCGGCUCAGAAAACGGAUGGAUGGAUGGAUGGCAUUGUUCCGGCGUUUCUUAAGUGGCACAUGUUUAAAAAGUCAGGUCAGGUCCUGUUCCUGUGCUUAAAAUGAUUCAGCAAAUAAAACGGAAAAAGAUGCGCAUGAUCCAAAUAGUAAACAUGCUUGACCACAUCCUUACAUAAACAAUCUUUCACAUUGUGAGCGUGCUACAUUGAUGACACACAAUGACUCAUCAAACAUGGCGCUGACAUUUUCCAGAUAAUCAGAUGGUGCCUGCGCGUGGGCGUGUAUCUGUUCCACUUUCACCGAAUCUCAAAAACACUCCAAAAGCCCCACGGGUCGAUGAAGGAAAUACGCACUGUAAUUGGAGGACAGAAGAUUUCCAUCUGCAUGUCACAUGCACGUGAGGUUCAUCGACGACUAAAUUGUCCCUAGGUGUCCGUUCGUUUUCAGUAACGCUUCUCUGGCGCCUAUCCCAGCUGACUCAACUGGUCGCCAACCAAUCGCAGGACACAUAGAAACAAACAACCAUUCACACCUCCGGCCAAUUUACAGUCUUCAAUCAACCUAGCGUGCAUGUUUUUGGGAUGUGGGAGGAAAGCGGAGUGCCCGGAGAAAAGCCACGCGGGCACGGACGGGGAGAACAUGCAAACUCCACACAGGCGAGGCCGGAUUUGAACCCGCAACCUCGCAACUGCCAUUUUCAACACCGCUUAUCCCGGACUACGCCCUCAAUUGGUCGCCAGUCAGUCGCAGGGCACCUCUCGACACGGACAACAACUCGCACUCGCAGUCACACCGUCACUGAGUGGGAACUGCACCGAAGUCAGGCUACUGAAACAAAUCCAAUAAAAGUAAUUUCUUCAGACGUUCUACGCCCCGCAACCCGUUUGUGACAAACCACAGGCAAGUAAACGGAUUUCACUCGCGACAUCAAAACAAAUGAUUGGAAGUCUAACUCACCAUCGCAGCAGUUUUGUGAGCGGCGCUUUCGGACACGCCCCAAGCCGCCCAGCGGCUUGUUUGAAGCCGAAAUGCUCCUCGCAGGUGAAAGAAAGUCUGCGUGCUAAUAUGAUCUUUUGAUGUUCGCCCGUAGGCGUCAGACGGCAGGGACACUUUACGGCCGUUGGGUAGGCGCUCGGCGUACACGAGGGCCGUCACCCGCCGUCGGGGAAGUUCAAGUAAGUGAAUCCAAACCUGCGAUAUGAUCGUCCACCGAUAGAAAGUGUGGAUGGACGCCUAUGAAAGUCACAUUUUAUGCAAAUCACUGCAAACAACAAGCACAAUAAGCAACAUUUGGCUGAAUGUCCGUGCCAAUCGAAUGUUUGCAUCUUGAUAAAACAAUAUCAAAUUUGACUAUCGGAUUCCACCGACGCUAAAACGCGAAGUGAUGUCACGACGUCAUGCGUCCUCUGACUAAAGACGGUGACCUUCGUCACUGUGAGAGUGCCGAUAUUUCGGCUGAGGUUCAACGUCGCCCCUUUAUGUCAGCCCCCCCAAAACUUCCCGGCGGGGAGCGCGACCCUCCGACCGCCGAGGUCGACGACGCGCUCCUCGGAUUGCGUCGAGGCCGAAGCGCUGCGGCAAAGCGCUGAUGCCGCAGGAACGGAGAGCGGAAGAGGCGGCACGUCAGCUGUCAGUGUCGGACAGAUGGACGGGCAGGCCGCGACCUCGUGUCAUGUGACACGGGACACCGGCAGGUCGUCAUGGAGACGCAUUGCACGGACUGCACAAUGACGAAAUGGAAACGGAGAGCGCCGCGCGACACAAGGUAUUCGUGCGUGCGUACGACUGCGCUGACGCGUGUAACUUUGUCUCCAACAACGGCUGCCGUGGCCGUCACGGGACGAUCAAGCGCAAGAUUUGUCCGAGCGUAUCGCGUCCAAAUGGACGGCAGAAAGGACUCAAGUUCAAGCAAUUGGACAAAACUCUCAUAAUAAAUCCUGUCAAUAGUACAACAGAUUGUGGAAAAAAAAGAAUCAUUUCAUUGUAAUUUGGCAAAAAGAAAGUCAUCGUAUUAUGGGGAGGAUUCUUUAGUCUCGUGGGUCCUAUUUUUUCUUUUCAGCGUCACGCUAAGCUUUCAUCGUAUUCAGCUAAUGUUAGUAUGCUAAUUACUUGAUUCGCAUAAGAUGACAACUUCUUCUCGACACAUUGAGCUUGUUUGUAUUUUGGAAACAUUCCGACUUUCUCUUUGCCUCCGGUUUAGCAUCCAGCUAACAUAGCCAGCCAGCAAAAACGCAGCCAAUUACGAGUUAGCUUCUUAGAAAGCUAAUUUGCCAGCAUUAGCUGAUUUUAUGAUGUGUAACCGUUUCAAUUGAAGAAUGAUCUCAGACAUCCACUUUCAUUUACUGCUCGUAACGUUCGCUCGUGGUCGCUCGUGCUUUGCAGGCCGAAGUGCUCGCGUCCCUGUCGCCGCCAUCGCUUCACUCUAACCUCACGCUUUUCUUUGGCGGCGCCCGGCUUCCAAACGAGGACCAUGGCCCCGUCUUUGUGUGCGUGUGGGUGUUUGUGUGUCUUUGGUUUGGAAAUUGUUUGUCGCCUAAGAACAGGGCGCACAAACAAACAUGCUUUUUGUGCAAAGACACAAAAACAGCAAGAGCGAUGUACACAAAGUGUGUGUGUGUGUUUUCACUAAUAAGCUGCAUAUUCUUCAUUGACAGAGGACAGCGCAACCUGACGUUGCAUAAGCGCUACACAAGCUGAACGGAAAGUGCCGCUAAGCACUCGGCUGUGGUGUGACAUGCGGGGACCGCAAAAGUUCCACAGGUGUCCAUACGGGCGGGGAAGAACCAUCCCGUUUGAACUCCAGCAGCGUCACACUGGCGCCGAUGUCAUCGUUGGCGGUGGGAGGGACCAGCGAGGCUGCUGACCGAAACAGGAUCACAUUUACAACAUCAAUUCCAUUGUGCUAUGAAUGAAUUCCCAACUGUCUGUUUCUUCAUUUUGCUUUCACCCUUUUUUUUUUCUGUCCAAUCAUAUUGUGAUGUCAAUCUAAUUAGGCCAGCGCCUUCCGAAUCUGUACUCUGUAAUCUGUAAUGUAGUUGCCUACAAUUACAAAUUAGCCUGUUGAAAAUGUCA